AAAAACAUCAAAUUAAAGGAAAGGCAGGUUACCUCUUCGAUGUCCCUGGAAACGAUGACGAGAAAAAAGUCGCCGUUUUCCCGGCGAGAGGGCGACGAUGGAGUCGCUUCCAGGCGACAUGCUGCGCCGGAUCCUCUCCAGGCUGAGCGACGCCAGAGACGUCGCCGCUUGCUCCCCCGUCUCCCGGCGCUGGCGAGAGGCCACCGCCUUCAUCCCUUCCAUCCACUUCCUCAGCAAGGCUUUGCAAGGAGGCGGAACCCCUGCCGACGCCGACAUCUUACGCAUGGUUUCCGCUACCGCCUCCUCCCUUGAGGACCUCUCCAUCCACUGCCCCUUUUCCGGUCGCAGCCUCGCCCCCUGCCUCGCCCUCUGCGGCCGAUCCCUCCGCUCCCUCGAUCUCCGCGUGGACUUCUUCGACGGCGGGCUCGACUGCGUCAACCUCUACGAAGGUUUAGAGUCUCUCAAGCUCUGGCACCCUCCCUGAUUUCUUCUCCCAAUUGGGGUUUGCCCGCCCACAGGAGAUUGCGCAGCUUGGGGAUGGUCGGCGGCAUUGUUCUCAGCGAACACUUGGCCGACGUGAUUCGUGCUUGCCCCCAUCUCACUGACUUGAUCCUGAUUAGAUGCUGUUCGGAAGGCGCGAUCUCGAUUGAACUGGAGCGAUUGGAGAGAUGCAAGUUGGAUCUCUAUUUUACAGUGCAUUGUUCCCUAAGUCUGAACUCGCCGAGGCUUCAAGACCUUGAUAUCCAAGGAUUUUAGCAGAUUCGAGUCGGCCAUAAUCACCGGUUAAAGAGGCUUUCCAUGCAAACAGUGAAGGUAAUGUGACGAUGGUGGAUGUGGGGAAGCUACCGGAGCUGGAGUAUUUGUCGAUUGAAGGUCAACACUGGUAUUGGAGUGAGAUAAAGACUCUUCUGCGAAAUGCAAUUGAGGUGGAAGAAUUCUUCAGUAACCACAGUUGGAGUUAAAGUUCAUGAUUUCUUCCUCUCUCGAGGAGCUGAUCGUUGCAGUGAGCUUGUUGCUGCAUUUGAAGGAGAAGGCAAACACACUGAAGCAUCGCGUGAAGCUGCGGAGGAUAUUGAUCAGUGGCGCACUAAACAUAAUUUAACCGACAAAAAUAAAGAAAGUUAGGGGAAGUUGAAGGAAGCAACGUCUUACUCAGUCGUCUAAGUUGAUCAGAUUGUGACUUAGCCUGACCCGAUAGAGAAAGACUAUAUUCUCCACCAAUAGUCUGACAUUGAACUUCAAUCCCACUAGGAUCUCGAUUGUAUCCAAAUACGUCCACUCCUCGAAAUGGCCCAACGACAGCUAUGUUGGUAAGUCGUCGCGCCAGAAGGUCGAUCAGGUAUAUGAAUGAAGGGGUUGACAAAAAUGAAGUAUCUCUUCCACCCCUUGUGUGAAGGACACUCUCCAAGAAAACUACACCUUGAUCGAGCUACGAAGUAAAAACAUCGGGGCUUUGUCUCUCAGGGAUAAAAAAAGAUAGUGGAAGAUGGUGGAGUUGAGUGGAAUUUGAUAUGAUCAAAAAAAGAUGUCUAUAGUAUAGAUCCAAUGGUAAAAGUUGGGGGUAAGCUAAGGGAGAGAGAUUCGGAAGUUGUGUUAAGCUCUUAAACGUAGGGGUGGAUCGGAAACCUUAAACCACUUGCUAGUUGACCUUGGCAACAAGUGAUAUACUCUUGAGGCGGUUCAUAUGAUCGAUUUUUUGACAUUGAAAUCCUGAUCUUAUGAUCGAUUAGGAUACAACAAGAUAUUCAAAGUUGCGCUUCUACAUCCCUUGUGAAUAAAAUUUGAUGAGACUCAUACCAACGGUUCAACGGGUUGCUGGUAGCCAUGAGAGCAAAAGGAAAGGCACAAAUGAAGAAAAUGAAAUGGUAAACUUAUUGCACUGAUAGAUGAGAAGUGGAGAAGACGAAGGCAAGAAGUAGCGAGAGCGAAUGGAGGCGACAUGACUUUCAAAUAACAUAAUAUACUUUAGCAAUACCACAGAGGAUUGUCGCAUUAGCCUUUCGAAUCGUUGGACGAUGAAGAGGGCGUCACAAGAUCCUAUCACAGCUGCAGCUCACUCCACCAUUAAAGCACAACAAUGAUAGGUUACAAAGGGAUCCAUCGACCUCUGAGACAGUUCAAAUGCAACCGUCAGAUGUUGAGAUUAGAUAGGCGCCAACGUGCCAUUGCCACAAAUCCGAGGUUGUGUGAACUCCGACAUUGUCAUACGUCUUUGUAGUUAAUGUAGUGGUCUCGUUGGUAUGCAAACAUCUCAGCUCAACAUUCUGGACAGAUCAACGUCGGUGGGUGAAACGACAACUCAACAUAAUCCAAUCAGUCAGAUUGUGCCUCCUUCAACUAGAUUUGAAGGAGAGACUUGUGAUAUAACAGUUUUCUACAGUCCCCACAUAUCCCGUGUGGUCAAAAGUCAUGCUAAUCAGUUAGUUAAGAUCAAGAUAGGUCAAAUAUGAUCCAAAGAGAAUUAGACUCUGUUCAAAUGAGACUCAAGUUUGAUUGAACCAACUUAGUAAGUAGAGCCGUCAAUUUUGGUUGUGUCCGUUGACCCCGUCGAAUAAUUUAAAUAGGUUGGAUUGAAAAUUUAUCAACCCAUCAUCUGGCGGGCCUAAAUGGGUUAGCCCGCGCAGGUCGCGGGUCCGAGCGGGCCAACCCACGGUAGGCUCGGGUUGGCCCACGAGCCUAACAAAAAUAUCAAUAAAUAUUUCUAAAUAUAUUAUGACUGAUAAAUAUUAAUUAACGGUGAGAACUCAACUGCCAAAUUAAUACAUUCUCUUUCUAACUCUCUUCUCUUAUUAUUAAUCUACUGUAGCGAUAAUUAUAAAACAUAAAUAGUACUUAAACUUAAAACCCUAUUUCUAUUUUCACAAUUUCACUUGACGCUUCGCCUUCGUUCGUCGCGACACCGACAUCGCCUUCGUUCGUCGUGACACCGACUGAUCGACACCAUCUUUCGCCUACCUCUCACUCCCAGAGUCAUAGCCUCACACACACCUGUGGGCUUGCGACCUGCCUCAUCAGCAGUCGUCGGCCAGUGUCUCCUUGUGGCCGUGAAGCAGAACGAAAUUCCGCCUCACGCAUGCCUACCUUAGUGUCUCCCCAAGUCCCCAAGUCCUCGACUCCUCGUAGCCGCGUGAAACCUGCAAAGACACAGAGUGCAAACAAACUAAAAGAUGGCAGUCCAACUCCAAUAGACGACAAGCUUGAAUCCACUAAUUCAGCAAUCGCUAAUCUCCCAACUUGAAUCCCACAAGUUCGGUAGCCGCCAAGUUUUGUUUGAGGUAAGAUUUUUUGCUUCCUUUCCUAAUUUCAUUCUAUUUCCCACUAGUUUCGUACUUUCGUAGUCCCUACUCGGCUACUCCCUAAUGUUUAGCAUUUGUUAUGCAUAUACCAGGUUACUAGUUUUCUCUUUUGAUACUCAACAUAUCUUGUGUCAUUGUGUGUUUUGACUUUGGAUUGAUUUGUUCUGCAAUCAACAGGGCUAACAUAAAAAAUAAAUUUAGGUUAUUUUCUAUUAACAUUUAGAGUUCUUGUUUGAUUGAUUUUAUCAUAAAUUAAAUUAAUUUAUUGUAUUUCAGAUUGAUUUUGAAAUGGACUCUAGUUCUCAAAAGUAAAUUAUUAUUUUAGAUGAUGAAUUGGAAAGUGCUAAGCAUGAUGACAAUGAGUCAAUUAAAAGGUCUAAAGAAACUUAUGAUAUUUGGGUGUAUUUUAAGAAAAUCAAAGGAAUUGAUAAUAUAGAUAAAGCUGAAUGUAUUCGAUGUAAAAAAUAGUAUAAGUGUGGGGGUAAACAAUAUGGAACUUCUACGUUGUGGCGUCAUCUUAAAAUUUGCGACAUUAAAGUUUCAUGAUGUACGGCAAAUGGUUCUUGAUCAAGAUGGAAAGACAGUCUAAGAAAAUAAAUCAAAAGUUUUCAUGUGAGCGACUGGCUUGUGCAAUCAUCAUACAUGAUUUAUCAUUUUUCUUUGUUGAGUAUGAUAGUAUUAGAGCUUAGAUGAAAUACAUAAAUCCUGAUGUUGCUUGCAUUUCUAGAAAUACUCUUGUUUCCGAUAUUAACCAAAUCUACUUGAAGGAAAAAGAGAAGCUUAAGUGUAUUUUGACUACGGUUCAGAAUAGAGUUUGUUUAACUUUAGAUUUGUGGACGACGUGCACUAGUGAGGAUUAUAUUUGCUUGACUGCCCAUUUUGUUGAUAAUGACUGGAAAUUAAAUAGUAAAAUACUUAGUUUGUCUCAUAUGCCCCCUCCACACUCAGGAGUUAAAUUAGCUGCAAAAUUAUUUGAAUAUUUGAAGGAAUGGGGGAUUGACAAAAAGGUUUUCUCUUUGACAUUGGAUACUGCAUCUAGUAAUGAUAACAUGCAAGUUCAUUUGAAAGAGCAACUUCUUUGCAUGAUAGUUUAUUUUGUGACAGUGAAUUUUUGCAUGUUCGUUGUUCUGCUCAUAUAUUGAAUCUCAUUGUCCAAGAAGGUUUGAAAGUGGCGGCAGUUACUGUGAAUAAAAUUAGAGAGUCGGUUAAGUAUGUUAAAGGUUCAAAGGCUAGGAUGAAAAAGUUUGGAGAAUGUGUAUAAGCAGUUAGUAACAUUGAUACUAGUAUUGGCUUACGAUUAGAUGUGUCUACUCGUUGGAACUCAACAUAUUUCAUGUUGGAUAGUGCCAUCAAAUAUAAAAAAGUUUUUGCUUCUCUUCAAUUCAAUGAUAAGAAUUAUAAAUAUCGUCCUUCAAGUGAAGAGUGGAAAAGAGGAGAGAAAAUAUGUGAGUUCCUUGAGCCAUUUUAUGACACUGCUAGUUUGAUCUCUGGUUCUUCUUAUCCUACAUCAAAUUUGUAUUUUAUGCAAGUUUGGAAGAUUGAAGUUUUGUUAAAGGAAAACUUAUCAAAUGAAGAUGAGGUGAUAAGUUAUAUAUGUAAAAGAAUGAUGGAGAAGUUUGACAAGUAUUUGACUCAAUAUAGCAUGGUGCUUGCAUUUAGAGCUAUUCUUGACCCACGAAUAAAGCUUUCAAUGUUGGAGUUUUUUUAUUCAAAGGUUGAAAGUGAUUCUCUUAAAUGCAAAAAGAAGAUGGAUCUUAUGAAGACAAAAUUGUAUAAGCUUUUUGACCAGUAUUCUGAUACUAACUAGACAAGUUCUUCACAACCACAAUCUUCUACCACACAUACACUUUCGCAAAGUGUUGUAGUUAAAUGAAAGAACAAAAGAAUCUUUGAUGUAAGUACUCUAAUAUUUUUUUCUUGUAUUCUCGAUUUUUUUUGUCACUACUAUUCCAAUUA